AAUUUAGGGGGUUAGAUAUCGGGUUUUAAAACUCAUGAUUCUAGAUGGAAUUUCGUCCAAAGUCUAAGGUGAUAUUUGGACUAUUUCCUUGAGAAAUUCUUUUGAAAAAUACAAAAGUAGAAAAAACACAUUAAAAAUUUUCCAUCGUGGCGGAGGCACGCGGCGGGGCCGGGGCGGCUCGGGGAGGAGGGGCACACGCACACGGCGGUGCGGCCUAGAGAGAGGUCGUCGUCAUGCCCGGAUCCAGCCUCCACGCUGCUCCCCGGCCCGCCGCAUCCCGGCAAUCCUCGUCGAGUAGUCGUUCGAUCUUCUCUCCUUCCUUUUUGUCUAGUUCUCUCCUAGAGUGCUACUCCACGCCCGACAGCGGUGAUCGGUGCUCCGGCGCCGCAAGUGCAGACUGUCCCCGAUACAUUCGGUAAUCGGUGGGCGGGUGCCGAUCGAUCGACGAGAGUAUUCGAUCUCUCAUUCAUGGCGGCGGCGACGGGGUACAGCGACGCCCCGACCGGCGACGAUCUGGCCGCGUACGACCAACUGCGGAGAUCUUCGCGGGCGCCGCCGCCCUGCGGCACCAUCAGCUUCUGCAACGACGUCAUCUACAGCCGCAGCCGUACUGACGACUCCACCUACCCACCGCCCUGCGACACCCAUGUAAGACUAGGGGCGGAGCUAGAGAAAAGACGAGGGAUUCCUACCUUUAUUUAUGUAAUACUAACAUCUAUAAUUAUAGAGCGAUAUUAUACUAAAUAGUUGCAUACCAAUAAAUAAA